AACACGGCCUGUCCACUCAAAUAGAUCAUUAAAUCUUCCAUCUCAAGGGCACCCACCCUGAAGGGGGCGUGAGUUUGCACUCAAGCAGCAGACUAGCUAUCCAGGCUACUCGGCAGGUUGUUUGACGUGAAAGCCGUUCUGACACAUGAUGCAGGAUUACUCGUCAUGUUUUGGCCUGAAAACGACUUGAUACGAAGUGUGGACUGAAGCUAACGGAGGCGACAAGGUGACGCCAGCUCGUCCUCGCUGUGCCAACUUUAGAACGUGUCAGUGAAAAGAACAUUCUCCCUUCAAGAAACAUUUCGCGAGACUCUGUAAAGGUUUACCGGCAAAGUAAAAGGCUUCGUCUUUAAGUUAAGCCAACAUUAACUGGCAGUGACGAAUAAACAGCUUGAAGCAUGCCCACAACGGUACAAGUGAGGGUCUUCAUUCCCUUUCAUCAAAGUCACGUUACAAGACAGCAAAAACGCAACAACAGGUAAGAAGGCUGAGUAAUGAUAAAGGCUGCCGUUACCAGCCACUGAUGGACAUGGAGUAAGUCCUCCUCACCAGUAGUCGGCGCUACACUGUAUUUGUCACGUAUCUCUGCCCACAAUGAGCAGUCAUUGUGCUCAUUAAUAAUAAUAAUAAUAAUAAUUAAUAAUAAUAAUAAUCUUUUUUUCUGGACACUCAAAGACA